GGCCAAUUAGAAGACGCGUUACAUCCAAAAUUAAAUUAUUACCAAAUGCACAAGUUAUAUGCCCCUUUUAAGUUUUGUGACAAUGUUUGUUUAAUCUUAACAGCAUAUUUUUAUCAUUGUUAAUGUAAAGAAAUAUUAGGUUGCUCUGUUUCUGGUCAUUAUUGUAACGUUAAACGUUGAUUUCCAAAAUAUGAAUACAGGAUAUGACAGAGAACUUGAUAAAACGGAAAUAGAUAUUGGGAAUUUAAUAAUGUUUCCAGCAAUAUCUAUUAUUUGAAGGAGUCACAAUGAAACUUCUUAAAUAUAAGAAAGGUCACC
rnacentral:lncRNA from 1 species